rnacentral:rRNA from 1 species
CCNNAUGGGUUGUAAACUUCCUUUAUAGGGGAAUAAAGUGAGGGACGUGUCCCUUUUUGUAUGUACCUUAUGAAUAAGGAUCGGCUAACUCCGUGCCAGCAGCCGCGGUAAUACGGAGGAUCCAAGCGUUAUCCGGAUUUAUUGGGUUUAAAGGGAGCGUAGGUUGACAUAUAAGUCAGCUGUGAAAGUUUACGGCUCAACCGUGAAAUUGCAGUUGAUACUGUAUGUCUUGAGUGUACAAGAGGUGGGCGGAAUUCGUGGUGUAGCGGUGAAAUGCUUAGAUAUCACGAGGAACUCCAAUUGCGAAGGCAGCUCACUGGGGUACAACUGACACUGAGGCUCGAAAGUGUGGGUAUCAAACAGGAUUAGAUACCCUGGUAGUCCACACAGUAAACGAUGAAUACUCGCUGUUUGCGAUAUACAGUAAGCGGCCAAGCGAAAGCAUUAAGUAUUCCACCUGGGGAGUACGCCGGCAACGGUGAAACUCAAAGGAAUUGACGGGGGCCCGCACAAGCGGAGGAACAUGUGGUUUAAUUCGAUGAUACGCGAGGAACCUUACCCGGGCUUGAAUUGCAGAGGAAUAUAGUUGAAAGAUUAUAGCCGCAAGGUCUCUGUGAAGGUGCUGCAUGGUUGUCGUCAGCUCGUGCCGUGAGGUGUCGGCUUAAGUGCCAUAACGAGCGCAACCCUUAUCAUUAGUUACUAACAGGUCAUGCUGAGGACUCUAGUGAGACUGCCGUCGUAAGAUGUGAGGAAGGUGGAAGG